AGUGAACGCUGGCGGUAGGCCUAACACGUGCAAGUCGAACGGCAGCACAGUAAGAGCUUGCUCUUACGGGUGGCGAGUGGCGGACGGGUGAGGAAUACAUCGGAAUCUACUUUUUCGUGGGGGAUAACGUAGGGAAACUUACGCUAAUACCGCAUACGACCUACGGGUGAAAGCAGGGGAUCUUCGGACCUUGCGCGAUUGAAUGAGCCGAUGUCGGAUUAGCUAGUUGGCGGGGUAAAGGCCCACCAAGGCGACGAUCCGUAGCUGGUCUGAGAGGAUGAUCAGCCACACUGGAACUGAGACACGGCCGAGACUCCUACGGGGGGCAGCAGUGGAGAAUAUUAGACGAUGGGCGCGAGCCUGAUCCAGCCAUACCGCGUGGGUGAAGAAGGCCUUCGGGUUGUAGAGCCCUUUUGUUGGGAAAGAAAAGCAGCAGGUUAAUACCCCGCUGUUCUGACGGUACCCAAAGAAUAAGCACCGGCUAACUUCGUG
rnacentral:rRNA from 1 species